UAGAAACUUUAGGGGUGCCUUCAGGGCUGAGAUCAAACCCUUUGAACCUGAUACGGAUCAUACCGACGAAGGAAAAAGUGAUUACCGAAGA
rnacentral:ncRNA from 2 species